CCCAGCUAUAGUCAGCUGUCCAGGCCUAUACCAUGCCUGAACAAGUGUUACUCUGCUGGGAUAGGAAGGCACAGCCAGUUUGACUCUUCUUAGUUGCCACUGUUUUAGUGGUUUCUGAUGUUGAGUGAUGGCAGUGCUGUGUCCCCUCUGAGAGUGGAGUGUCCUACAUGCACUGGGACUUUCCUAGUCUGGGGUCAAACAUU